rnacentral:rRNA from 1 species
ACCAGUACCGUGAGGGAAAGGCGAAAAGAACCCCGGCGAGGGGAGUGAAAAAGAACCUGAAACCGUGUACGUACAAGCAGUGGGAGCACGCUUAGGCGUGUGACUGCGUACCUUUUGUAUAAUGGGUCAGCGACUUAUAUUCUGUAGCAAGGUUAACCGAAUAGGGGAGCCGAAGGGAAACCGAGUCUUAACUGGGCGUUAAGUUGCAGGGUAUAGACCCGAAACCCGGUGAUCUAGCCAUGGGCAGGUUGAAGGUUGGGUAACACUAACUGGAGGACCGAACCGACUAAUGUUGAAAAAUUAGCGGAUGACUUGUGGCUGGGGGUGAAAGGCCAAUCAAACCGGGAGAUAGCUGGUUCUCCCCGAAAGCUAUUUAGGUAGCGCCUCGUGAAUUCAUCUCCGGGGGUAGAGCACUGUUUCGGCAAGGGGGUCAUCCCGACUUACCAACCCGAUGCAAACUGCGAAUACCGGAGAAUGUUAUCACGGGAGACACACGGCGGGUGCUAACGUCCGUCGUGAAGAGGGAAACAACCCAGACCGCCAGCUAAGGUCCCAAAGUCAUGGUUAAGUGGGAAACGAUGUGGGAAGGCCCAGACAGCCAGGAUGUUGGCUUAGAAGCAGCCAUCAUUUAAAGAAAGCGUAAUAGCUCACUGGUCGAGUCGGCCUGCGCGGAAGAUGUAACGGGGCUAAACCAUGCACCGAAGCUGCGGCAGCGACACUAUGUGUUGUUGGGUAGGGGAGCGUUCUGUAAGCCUGUGAAGGUGUGCUGUGAGGCAUGCUGGAGGUAUCAGAAGUGCGAAUGCUGACAUAAGUAACGAUAAAGCGGGUGAAAAGCCCGCUCGCCGGAAGACCAAGGGUUCCUGUCCAACGUUAAUCGGGGCAGGGUGAGUCGACCCCUAAGGCGAGGCCGAAAGGCGUAGUCGAUGGGAAACAGGUUAAUAUUCCUGUACUUGGUGUUACUGCGAAGGGGGGACGGAGAAGGCUAUGUUGGCCGGGCGACGGUUGUCCCGGUUUAAGCGUGUAGGCUGGUUUUCCAGGCAAAUCCGGAAAAUCAAGGCUGAGGCGUGAUGACGAGGCACUACGGUGCUGAAGCAACAAAUGCCCUGCUUCCAGGAAAAGCCUCUAAGCAUCAGGUAACAUCAAAUCGUACCCCAAACCGACACAGGUGGUCAGGUAGAGAAUACCAAGGCGCUUGAGAGAACUCGGGUGAAGGAACUAGGCAAAAUGGUGCCGUAACUUCGGGAGAAGGCACGCUGAUAUGUAGGUGAGGUCCCUCGCGGAUGGAGCUGAAAUCAGUCGAAGAUACCAGCUGGCUGCAACUGUUUAUUAAAAACACAGCACUGUGCAAACACGAAAGUGGACGUAUACGGUGUGACGCCUGCCCGGUGCCGGAAGGUUAAUUGAUGGGGUUAGCGCAAGCGAAGCUCUUGAUCGAAGCCCCGGUAAACGGCGGCCGUAACUAUAACGGUCCUAAGGUAGCGAAAUUCCUUGUCGGGUAAGUUCCGACCUGCACGAAUGGCGUAAUGAUGGCCAGGCUGUCUCCACCCGAGACUCAGUGAAAUUGAACUCGCUGUGAAGAUGCAGUGUACCCGCGGCAAGACGGAAAGACCCCGUGAACCUUUACUAUAGCUUGACACUGAACAUUGAGCCUUGAUGUGUAGGAUAGGUGGGAGGCUU